rnacentral:rRNA from 1 species
GGCUCAGGAUGAACGCUAGCGGCAGGCUUAAUACAUGCAAGUCGUGGGGCAGCGCAGUGUAGCAAUACAGUGGGCGGCGACCGGCAAACGGGUGCGGAACACGUACACAACCUUCCUACAAGUGGGGAAUAGCCCAGAGAAAUUUGGAUUAAUACCCCGUAACAUAUAAAGAUGGCAUCAUUUUUAUAUUAUAGCUACGGCGCUUGUUGAUGGGUGUGCGGCUGAUUAGGUAGUUGGCGGGGUAAUGGCCCACCAAGCCUGCGAUCAGUAGCUGAUGUGAGAGCAUGAUCAGCCACACGGGCACUGAGACACGGGCCCGACUCCUACGGGAGGCAGCAGUAAGGAAUAUUGGACAAUGGGCGCAAGCCUGAUCCAGCCAUGCCGCGUGAAGGAUUAAGGUCCUCUGGAUUGUAAACUUCUUUUAUAAGGGACGAAAAAGGGAAUUCUUUCUCACUUGACGGUACCUUAUGAAUAAGCACCGGCUAACUCCGUG